rfam:Bacillus sp. SA1-12 scf7180000003364, whole genome shotgun sequence.
CCCGUGCUACAACCGCUCAGAAUAAGGUAUAAGCAAUGUUUUUGACAUUCACCUGAUUUUGGCGAGUCUUAGUUUAUAG